AAUAAGCGCAGUCAUAAGUUUCCGCGUCUAACUUUAAUCGUCCGUCUUAUUUGAAUUUUUUUAUAAUUAGUAUUUUUGUUGUUAUGCGAUAAUAAAUAGUAAUAGUACUUUACUCGUGACUUAUGUUUUUAUUUUUUUAAAAAAAAUUUUCAAAUAAGACGAACGGUUAAAGUUGGACGCGGAAAACCAUAACUGCACUUAUU
rfam:Oryza barthii chromosome 8, whole genome shotgun sequence.